AUGGAGCGGAAGUUUCAGAGAAGAGGGGGAAAGACAGCCGUGGACAGAGCUCUGGUUUGUGUGUGUUGUGUAAUCAGGUUGCCAGCUAUUCAAGAAUACGAAGGUCUCUUUGAUUUCUUUUGUGUCUUCAAAGCGCUUGGAUCAUGUGUACGUAAAUGUUUAUUGUGUGAUAAAACUUUACCCAUGAUUAAACAAUUUCACACUGUUUAUGCACCACAUCUCUUUCCAAAAUGCCUAGGAAUGCUGUUUUUCCAGAUGAGGUCAUCAUACGAGAGGCUCUGGAUGAGACACUGGUGUACAGCACUUUUGCAUCAACUCGACCCUCUGAGAAUAUAGGUCCUUGAUGCAGCUCCUGGCACACACUGGGCACCUGGAACGCUAUUGGUCAAACGACACGUAUUAAUUGGAUGGAUGCAUAUUCAAGUUCAGUUGAGGGUGAGGAAUAGGCAUAAGUCAUGUUGAGAAGUCCUUCUCUUCUCCCCAAAGUCCUAUCCUUCUCCCCCUGCACGCACUUGCUUACAAAAGCACGGAUUAGGGAGAUAGCAGUAUCUCCAGCAACAUUAAACGCCCUUUAUUCCCACCGACUUAAGAAAAGUGCACUGUUCUCUACGCCUCGGAGGAAAGAAACUCAUGGCUAAUGUAGGGUGUGAAGUGGUGAUGGGUAGCUGCUUCUAGAAAGGUGGUGAAAUUAUAAGCACAAUCACUUGCCGCAUCGAGAUGCCCUACUGACCGCUCCUCCUCUUGAUUAUGCUGUGGAAACAGUUAUGUCGAGUGGAUGUCAUCGCAUAAAGGUUUGGUGAAGGGAGGGGAAGAAAGAGGGAGGUGCUCAGGUCAGCGCCCGGCCGGAGUCUGGAGGGUGUGGGAGUGCCCUUGACAUAUCUGGUUCCCCAGCCUCAACUGAAAAUGCUGUGGCUGCAAGCGAGGGGACUGCUGAGCUCAGGGGCUGGUUGUAGAACUGGGCUGAAGUCAGUGCACAGAUCUACUCAGAAAGAAAUACACCCUGAGUGGAAAAACUGAACAAGACCUUCCAACUUGGGCCCUGAUAGCUACUUUUCUGGAAGCCACUUCAUUUCAUUUUUAUGAUAGAUUGCUUACACACCAUUACUUGCCUCUUUGUCGCAGGUAAUGAGAGAGUUACUAUUCCUCUCGUGUGGUCUGUUGGCAAAAGAGUAAAAAUUAUUGGGUUGGGUGUGGCUAUAAUAUGUUAACAUUCCACAAACAUCUCACACUCCACCAGUCCUCUGGUGCAUUUUUUUUUCUCUCUGAAUUAGCACCAUGUACCCAGAUCCCGAACUCACACACUCUGACUCCGCCUCUGCUCUACGUUCAUUUUUACCACUACUAACACCAGAUUUUAUGGGUUCUAUCUUGCAGAGAUUUCUCGAAUCUAUUUUUUUUUCCUUUACCUCUCCUUUCUAGUUCAGGUCACUACCAUCUUGACAUGUUUUGCUGCGGGAGCCUCCAAAAUUAGAUUUUCUGUGUUCGGUCUUUUUUGUUACACAUCCCAAGCCCAAGACAAAUCUUUCAACUUGCAUCCUGUCCACCUGAGCACAGAGUUGAAAAUUCCUAACCUGGUUUGGGACGUUCAUGGUGUGUGCUCGCUUCCCUAGUGAGCCUCCAGGAGUACCUCCCUGGGUGUGCGCAGCUAAGUGCUCCAGCCAAGACCUGCCUCACCCGGUUCCCCUGCCUGGCCCUGCCCGGGUCAUCCCUCAUGCCUCCCUUCAAGCUGCUCAGCCUAGCUCCCCCCUCUGGGUCCUUCAAACCUCUUUUGAAGGGUCCCUAAAUCACUCAGAACUUGCUCUGGUUAGCAAAAGUGUGUCUAUGGACCCCUUGGCUGAAAGUUUUCCUGAAGGCCUUGCUCACCGAGGUGUCCGGUGGGCUUAGCAUCAGGAUUGCUCAAUGAGGAUGCGGAAGAGAUGAAUAACUAUGUUAACUGUGCGUCUGCCAUUACAACCUGAGAUGUGCUAUUUCAGUCUGGCUUUAAUGAACCCUUUCCUUCCUUCCUUUUUUUUUUUUUUUUUUAAAUUCACGUAGUAGUAAUCAGUAACUGGACCUGCAUCUCCUGCUGUGUCUCCAGUCGCUCCAGAACCGGAGGCCCACCAGGACGGCAUCAGGGUAGACAUCAGCCCCCAGGUCAGGAGCGCUGGGCCGUGGGGCUCCAGGGCAUUCUCAGGGGCUCCGAUGGUGUCUGCCUCUCGACCUCGGCCUGGGUCUACCCCACCCCCACCCCCUUGGCAGGUGUAUCCGGUGGCGGAGGCCUGGGAAGGAGGAGCAUCAUCAUCGGGAAGCGGGGAGCAGGGGCCGCGCGCGGGAGGGUGCGGAGCCCCCGCAGGAAGCAGCCCUAAGGUCCUCGUCGCCAAAAGCGGGGCUCGGGGGCUCUCAAGUUGGUUUUUAACCUAAGGCCCUUCGGUGAACGCGUCGCGUGGUCGCCGGCGCGCCCCCGCGGGCCACCUUCAGAGCAGACCCCAAGCGCCCCCGAAGGACGCAGACGGCUCCCCGCCGCGUCCCGGCGCCCGGGUCGGUGC
rnacentral:lncRNA from 12 species